GACGAACGCUGGCGGCGUGCUUAACACAUGCAAGUCGAACGGAAAGGCCUCUUUCGGGGGGUACUCGAGUGGCGAACGGGUGAGUAACACGUGAGUAACCUGCCCUUGACUUUGGGAUAACUUCAGGAAACUGGGGCUAAUACCGGAUAGGAGCUCCUGCUGCAUGGGUGGGGUUGUAAAGGUUCGGCGGUUGGGGGUGGACUGGCGGCUUAUCCGCUUGUUGGUGGGGGAGUGGCUUACCAAGGCUUUGACGGGUAGCCGGACUGAGAGUGUGACCGGCCACAUUGGGACUGAGAUACGGCCCAGACUCCGACGGGAGGCAGCAGUGGGGAAUAUUGAACAAGGGGUGGAAGCCUGAUGCAGCAACGCCGUGUGCGGGAUGACGGCCUUCGGGUUGUAAACCGCUUUCGCUCAUGACGAAGCUUUGUGUGACGGUAGUGGGUAAAGAAGCACCGGCUAACUACGUG
rnacentral:rRNA from 1 species